rnacentral:rRNA from 1 species
UUAAGCGACUAAGCGUACACGGUGGAUGCCCUGGCAGUCAGAGGCGAUGAAGGACGUGCUAAUCUGCGAUAAGCGUCGGUAAGGUGAUAUGAACCGUUAUAACCGGCGAUUUCCGAAUGGGGAAACCCAGUGUGAUUCGUCACACUAUCAUUAACUGAAUCCAUAGGUUAAUGAGGCGAACCGGGGGAACUGAAACAUCUAAGUACCCCGAGGAAAAGAAAUCAACCGAGAUUCCCCCAGUAGCGGCGAGCGAACGGGGAGCAGCCCAGAGCCUGAAUCAGUGUGUGUGUUAGUGGAAGCGUCUGGAAAGGCGCGCGAUACAGGGUGACAGCCCCGUACACAAAAAUGCACAUGCUGUGAGCUCGCUGAGUAGGGCGGGACACGUGGUAUCCUGUCUGAAUAUGGGGGGACCAUCCUCCAAGGCUAAAUACUCCUGACUGACCGAUAGUGAACCAGUACCGUGAGGGAAAGGCGAAAAGAACCCCGGCGAGGGGAGUGAAAAAGAACCUGAAACCGUGUACGUACAAGCAGUGGGAGCACAGAGCAAUCUGUGUGACUGCGUACCUUUGUAUAAUGGGUCAGCGACUUAUAUUCUGUAGCAAGGUUAACCGAAUAGGGGAGCCGAAGGGAAACCGAGUCUUAACUGGGCGUUAAGUUGCAGGGUAUAGACCCGAAACCCGGUGAUCUAGCCAUGGGCAGGUUGAAGGUUGGGUAACACUAACUGGAGGACCGAACCGACUAAUGUUGAAAAAUUAGCGGAUGACUUGUGGCUGGGGGUGAAAGGCCAAUCAAACCGGGAGAUAGCUGGUUCUCCCCGAAAGCUAUUUAGGUAGCGCCUCGUGAAUUCAUCUCCGGGGGUAGAGCACUGUUUCGGCAAGGGGGUCAUCCCGACUUACCAACCCGAUGCAAACUGCGAAUACCGGAGAAUGUUAUCACGGGAGACACACGGCGGGUGCUAACGUCCGUCGUGAAGAGGGAAACAACCCAGACCGCCAGCUAAGGUCCCAAAGUCAUGGUUAAAGUGGGAAACGAUGUGGGAAGGCCCAGACGGCCAGGAUGUUGGCUUAGAAGCAGCCAUCAUUUAAAGAAAGCGUAAUAGCUCACUGGUCGAGUCGGCCUGCGCGGAAGAUGUAACGGGGCUAAACCAUGCACCGAAGCUGCGGCAGCGACGCUUAUGCGUUGUUGGGUAGGGGAGCGUUCUGUAAGCCUGCGAAGGUGUGCUGUGAGGCAUGCUGGAGGUAUCAGAAGUGCGAAUGCUGACAUAAGUAACGAUAAAGCGGGUGAAAAGCCCGCUCGCCGGAAGACCAAGGGUUCCUGUCCAACGUUAAUCGGGGCAGGGUGAGUCGACCCCUAAGGCGAGGCCGAAAGGCGUAGUCGAUGGGAAACAGGUUAAUAUUCCUGUACUUGGUGUUACUGCGAAGGGGGGACGGAGAAGGCUAUGUUGGCCGGGCGACGGUUGUCCCGGUUUAAGCGUGUAGGCUGGUUUUCCAGGCAAAUCCGGAAAACUAAGGCUGAGGCGUGAUGACGAGGCACUACGGUGCUGAAGCAACAAAUGCCCUGCUUCCAGGAAAAGCCUCUAAGCAUCAGGUAACAUCAAAUCGUACCCCAAACCGACACAGGUGGUCAGGUAGAGAAUACCAAGGCGCUUGAGAGAACUCGGGUGAAGGAACUAGGCAAAAUGGUGCCGUAACUUCGGGAGAAGGCACGCUGAUAUGUAGGUGAAGCGACUUGCUCGUGGAGCUGAAAUCAGUCGAAGAUACCAGCUGGCUGCAACUGUUUAUUAAAAACACAGCACUGUGCAAACACGAAAGUGGACGUAUACGGUGUGACGCCUGCCCGGUGCCGGAAGGUUAAUUGAUGGGGUCAGCGCAAGCGAAGCUCUUGAUCGAAGCCCCGGUAAACGGCGGCCGUAACUAUAACGGUCCUAAGGUAGCGAAAUUCCUUGUCGGGUAAGUUCCGACCUGCACGAAUGGCGUAAUGAUGGCCAGGCUGUCUCCACCCGAGACUCAGUGAAAUUGAACUCGCUGUGAAGAUGCAGUGUACCCGCGGCAAGACGGAAAGACCCCGUGAACCUUUACUAUAGCUUGACACUGAACAUUGAGCCUUGAUGUGUAGGAUAGGUGGGAGGCUUUGAAGUGUGGACGCCAGUCUGCAUGGAGCCGACCUUGAAAUACCACCCUUUAAUGUUUGAUGUUCUAACGUUGACCCGUAAUCCGGGUUGCGGACAGUGUCUGGUGGGUAGUUUGACUGGGGCGGUCUCCUCCUAAAGAGUAACGGAGGAGCACGAAGGUUGGCUAAUCCUGGUCGGACAUCAGGAGGUUAGUGCAAUGGCAUAAGCCAGCUUGACUGCGAGCGUGACGGCGCGAGCAGGUGCGAAAGCAGGUCAUAGUGAUCCGGUGGUUCUGAAUGGAAGGGCCAUCGCUCAACGGAUAAAAGGUACUCCGGGGAUAACAGGCUGAUACCGCCCAAGAGUUCAUAUCGACGGCGGUGUUUGGCACCUCGAUGUCGGCUCAUCACAUCCUGGGGCUGAAGUAGGUCCCAAGGGUAUGGCUGUUCGCCAUUUAAAGUGGUACGCGAGCUGGGUUUAGAACGUCGUGAGACAGUUCGGUCCCUAUCUGCCGUGGGCGCUGGAGAAUUGAGGGGGGCUGCUCCUAGUACGAGAGGACCGGAGUGGACGCAUCACUGGUGUUCGGGUUGUCAUGCCAAUGGCACUGCCCGGUAGCUAAAUGCGGAAGAGAUAAGUGCUGAAAGCAUCUAAGCACGAAACUUGCCCCGAGAUGAGUUCUCCCUGACUCCUUGAGAGUCCUGAAGGAACGUUGAAGACGACGACGUUGAUAGGCCGGGUGUGUAAGCGCAGCGAUGCGUUGAGCUAACCGGUACUAAUGAACCGUGAGGCUUAACCUU